rnacentral:rRNA from 1 species
GAGUUUGAUCUUGGCUCAGAUUGAACGCUGGCGGCAUGCCUUACACAUGCAAGUCGAACGGCAGCACGGGAGCUUGCUCCUGGUGGCGAGUGGCGAACGGGUGAGUAAUGCAUCGGAACGUGUCCUGGAGUGGGGGAUAACGUAGCGAAAGUUACGCUAAUACCGCAUAUUCUGUGAGCAGGAAAGCGGGGGACCUUCGGGCCUCGCGCUCUUGGAGCGGCCGAUGUCGGAUUAGCUAGUUGGUGAGGUAAAGGCUCACCAAGGCGACGAUCCGUAGCAGGUCUGAGAGGAUGAUCUGCCACACUGGAACUGAGACACGGUCCAGACUCCUACGGGAGGCAGCAGUGGGGAAUUUUGGACAAUGGGGGCAACCCUGAUCCAGCCAUGCCGCGUGAGUGAAGAAGGCC